AUUCAAAUAGCUUAAUCAUAGAGCAUAGUAUUGAAGAUACUAAGGUAAUUUAAUAUUUUUGGAUA
rnacentral:tRNA from 1 species